UACGAGUGCCCCGAGCGUUAUCCGGAAUUAUUGGGCGUAAAGGGUGUGUAGGCGGCAGUGUUAGUCGUUUGUCAAAGCUCCCGGCCCAACCGGGAAAAGGCAAACGAAACGGCACCGCUAGAGAGUGUGAGGGGUCUAUGGAACUCAUGGUGUAGGGGUGAAAUCCGUUAAUAUCAUGGGGAACACCGAAGGCGAAGGCAGUAGACUAGCACAUUUCUGACGCUGAAACACGAAAGCGUGGGUAGCGAAUGGG
rnacentral:rRNA from 1 species